UACGAAGGGGGCUAGCGUUGCUCGGAAUCACUGGGCGUAAAGGGUGCGUAGGCGGUCCUUUAAGUCAGGGGUGAAAUCCUGGAGCUCAACUCCAGAACUGCCUUUGAUACUGAAGAUCUUGAGUUCGGGAGAGGUGAGUGGAACUGCGAGUGUAGAGGUGAAAUUCGUAGAUAUUGGGAAGAACACCAGUGGCGAAGGCGGCUCUCUGGCCCGGACCUGACGCUGAGGCGCGAAAGCGUGGGGAGCAAACAGG
rnacentral:rRNA from 1 species